AUAAGCAGACGACAACUACAUUUAAUAGGACAAUUGUUUUUCAUUUUCUUGGAGACGCUGUCCGAGAAGAUUACCUUAGCCAUUGGAUCAUGGCGGCUUUCUUUCCUGACAUAUUUCGUCAAUGGGUUCCUUGUUCAGUUUGAGCUUUUAGUGGUGUUGUCUGGUGUGCAGUGGUUUUGCAGUCAUUAAGUCGAGAGAUGCCCCGAGAUGGAUGAUUAACUGCUAGACUUCCCUCACAUUGCCUUUUCUAUGGAGAUGCUGUCCGAGAAAGUUUAGCUUGGCCAUUUCAGGCAAGUUUCUCUCUUGACAUUAUUAGUCUUAAAAUGUAACAGCCUGGUGAAGUCCAAGCUUUUCAUUACGUUACGUGUACGUGGUCGCUGCCGUUUAAUGCAGGUUCUCUAAUAAGAGGGUCUCCGCCCUCUUAGACUUGUUGCAGCGAGCUCUGGUGAUGGUGAAGGAUGUGGUGAGCUGUUGCAUGACGACCAUGUGCUGGUGUGGGGAAGUGCUGCAUGCUGUCUGUGGUUUCCAUUGUCAAUUAUGUUGUUGCUCUGUGGUAUGCAGUUCAUGUUAAGGUGGUUUUGUUGCAGCCGCUGCUGCUGAAAGGGAGUCCAAGUCGAGUUGAGCUGCAGCUUUUGAAGCAGUCAACAAUGCUGGUGUUAUUCUGAAAUGUAACAUCAAUGAAGACAUCUUGAAAUGGUCUUGGUGAAGAUGCCAUCAUCAAUCUUCUGCAUACAGUUUUUGUUAUCAAGAAGUGGAGAAGUAAGACUUGAAGCAAAGCUGCAAGAAAAUAAAUGGUAUCGACAUUAAUGUGCAGUAGUUUUGCCGUCCGACUCCUGUUCAAGCUGUUGCUUUCCUGAAUUCUUCCGGAGUCUUCGAAGUAGCUGAUCCUGAAGUUAUGAUGUUGGGGUUAUCCUGGAGUAGCUGUUGUUCAUUUCUUAAAUUACUGUGCAAGUUCAAUUCGGGUUGAUAAAAAUGUUGAAUCUAUUUAGUAUGUGGUUGUACAUUGUAGUAACCUAAAUAAGCCAUUUUGUUAUCCAUUAUGGCAUGUUCUGAAAUGAUGUUGGUUUAAACAGCAGUUGUGCUUCCUUAUAUUUCCCUCACCCACGUAUAUCAAAUAUUUCUUUAAUAAUGGAAUAUUAAAGGAAAGUUGAAAUUUUU